UACGUAGGGACCAAGCGUUGUUCGGAUUUACUGGGCGUAAAGGGCGCGUAGGCGGCGCGGUAAGUCACUUGUGAAAUCUCUGAGCUUAACUCAGAACGGCCAAGUGAUACUGCAGUGCUAGAGUGUGGAAGGGGCAAUCGGAAUUCUUGGUGUAGCGGUGAAAUGCGUAGGUAUCAGGAAGAACACCCGUGGUCGAAGGCGGCUUCCUGGGACGGUACUGACGCUGAGACGCGAAAGCGUGGGGAGCGAACAGG
rnacentral:rRNA from 1 species